UACGUAGGGGGCGAGCGUUGUCCGGAAUUAUUGGGCGUAAAGAGCGUGUAGGCGGUCCGGUAAGUCAGCUGUGAAAGUCAAGGGCUCAACCCUUGAAUGUCAGUGGAUACUGCCGGGCUAGAGUCCGGAAGAGGCGAGUGGAACUCCUGGUGUAGCGGUGGAAUGACGCAGAUAUCAGGAAGAACACCACGGCGAAGGCAGCUCGCUGGGACGGUACUGACGCUGAGAACGCGAAAGCGUGGGGAGCGAACAGG
rnacentral:rRNA from 1 species